rnacentral:rRNA from 1 species
UACAGAGGUCUCAACCGUUGUUCGGAUUCAUUGGGCGUAAAGGGUGCGUAGGCGGUCGCGCAAGUCGGAUGUGAAAUCUCAGGGCUCAACCCUGAAACUGCAUUCGAUACUGCGUGGCUAGAGUGCUGGAGAGGAGACUGGAAUUCCUGGUGUAGCGGUGAAAUGCGCAGAUAUCAGGAGGAACACCGGUGGCGAAGGCGGGUCUCUGGGCCGAUACUGACGCUGAGGAGCGAAAGCGUGGGGAGCGAACAGG